rnacentral:lncRNA from 1 species
UCCAGAGUGACCGAAGAGCUAUUGGUGGUGGAAUCACUUCCUUCAGCUCGUUUGCUCAACUUCCGCUUGUCCACAAAAAUUGCCCAUUUGCUUUUUACAUCCUACUGGUGUUUAACCUGGAGUCUUUUGCUAUUUUACGAAGAGUAUUGAAACAUGUCUCUCUGGAGUCAAAUAUUUCAUUUCAGACACCUCCCUUUAUGAUGUCAAUCUAAGGGCUGAGCUAAGGGAAAUAAAUGUGAUUAUUGUUAUGAGGGCAUACAGUGAGAUGGCAGCAGCCUGUAAGCCAGAAACAGAAGCAUCACCAGAAACUGACCAUGCUGGUACCCUAAUCUCAGACUUCCAGAUUUCUGAAGAACUUCAAAGAAACAAAAGUCUAUUGUUUAAGCCACCUAGUCUGUCACAUUUUGUUAUGGCAA